rnacentral:rRNA from 1 species
UGGGGAAUAUUGGGCAAUGGAGGCAACUCUGACCCAGCAACGCCGCGCGAGGGAAGAAGGUUUUCGGAUUGUAAACCUCUGUCCUUGGGGACGAAAAAAAUGACGGUACCCAGGGAGGAAGCCCCGGCUAACUACGUGCCAGCAGCCGCGGUAAUACGUAGGGGGCGAGCGUUGUCCGGAAUUACUGGGCGUAAAGGGUGCGUAGGCGGUUGCCUAAGUCAGAUGUGAAAUCCCCGGGCUUAACUCGGGUGGUGCAUUUGAAACUGGGCGGCUUGAGUGCAGGAGAGGGAAGCGGAAUUCCUAGUGUAGCGGUGAAAUGCGUAGAUAUUAGGAGGAACACCAGUGGCGAAGGCGGCUUUCUGGACUGUAACUGACGCUGAGGCACGAAAGCGUGGGGAGCAAACAG